UACGUAGGGUGCAAGCGUUAAUCGGAAUUACUGGGCGUAAAGCGUGCGCAGGCGGUUAUGCAAGACAGGUGUGAAAUCCCCGGGCUUAACCUGGGGACCGCAUUUGUGACUGCAUAGCUGGAGUACGGCAGAGGGGGAUGGAAUUCCGCGUGUAGCAGUGAAAUGCGUAGAUAUGCGGAGGAACACCGAUGGCGAAGGCAGUCCCCUGGGCAUGUACUGACGUUCAUGCACGAAAGCGUGGGGAGCAAACAGG
rnacentral:rRNA from 1 species